GGUGGGAUAGCUCACCCACAAAACCCUAUAGCUUAUCGCUUUCUCACCGAUCCCUAUGUGGUAUAAGGAUCUCAUAAUUUUACCUCACAUAUAAUUUUCUGACAGUGACUUUGAUAUCAAUAUACAUCCUCUUUCCCACCUAUGUGGGAUAAGUGUCUCACAAUAUACUUAUCACCAGUAAUCAGCAAAUAACAUUCCUCACAGGGUGAAUACCUGUUCAUCAUCAAACAUGGCCGGAAUCUCUGUUCUUCCUGCUGAAGUUUUGCUAGCAAAACGCGUCCAAGAGAUGGUCCUCUACGGUGAAGAACCACAGCCUCCUCAUAUAUGUAGAGACGACUGCACAGAUGAAGAUGUUUCUGUUAUGCCAUCUUUGAUUCCUAUUAUAGACGUCAGCCUCCUCUCUUCUUUGGAACCUUCAACUUCACACGAAGAACUGCAUAAACUUAGAUCAGCUCUUUGCUCAUGGGGUUGCUUCCAGGCAAUAGGUCAUGGGAUUCCAAAAUCGUUUCUGGAUAAGAUUCGACAAGUGGCUAAGGAAUUCUUUGAACAGCCUAUGGAAGAGAAGAAAAAGCAUGCUAAAGGAGUUUAUGAGUUUGAAGGGUACGGAGCAGACCCUGUCCCUGCAGAAGGUCAGUCACUUGACUGGUCUGAUCGUCUAUUUCUUGACGUAUACCCAGAAGAUAGAAGGAAGCCCAAGUUCUGGCCAGAAAAUCCAACAUCUUUCAGAGAAGUCUUAGAAGAAUACACUUUAAAGAUGAGAAUGUUAACAGAACUUGUCUCAAAAGCCAUGGCAAAGUCAUUGAAUUUGGAGGAAAAUUGCUUCCUGGAUCAGUUCGGUGAACAAGCAGUUCUACAAGCAAGGUUUAACAAUUACUCACGUUGUCCAAGACCUGAUCUUGUUCUUGGCUUAAAAGCCCAUGCAGACGGAUCAGGGUACACUAUUAUCUUGCAGAAUGAUGUUGAAGGUCUGCAAGUCCAAAAAGACAAGAACUGGGUCACAGUGCCCCCCAUUUCAGAUGCCCUCCUAAUCUUAAUGGCUGAUCAAAUGGAGGUAUGAUUGCAGUGUUAUAUGAUAUGAAAGGCACACUCAUGGCACAUGCAUCAAAUUGGCCCCUGGAAUGGAAAUUUUCCAUUCCAAAAUGUUAUUGCUUGAGCAACAUUCGUUGCCUGAGUGGCAAUUCGAAGCAUCACACACAGAUGGUUUGAAUAUUAAUAUGUAUUUUUCACUGUGUAAAAUUUAAAUACAUGUUGAUGACAAUAUCCAAAUCUUAUAACUGGUUUCCUACGUGAUUGGUAGAUAAUGACCAAUGGAAUAUUCAAGAGCGCAGUGCACAGAGUUCUAACUAGCACAGAAAAGGAGAGGAUUUCUGUGGCUGUUUUCUACACGCCUGAACCUAAAAAGGAGAUUGGACCAGAAGAAGGAUUGGUCAAUGAAGAAAGACCAAGAAUAUUCAAGAAGGUGAAAGAUUAUGCUGAUAUACACUGGGGAUACUACCAGCAGGGUAAGAGAGCACUUCAUGUAGCAAGAGUUUAGAGCUGUACUGUCAACAGCAAGAAAGUAAAGCAGCUCUUAUAGCAGAAGUUUGAGACGUACUAUGAUAAUGUCUUGUGCUGUUUGCAGUUAUCUUCGUGGUUGCUGAUGCAUAUUAUGAUUAUCAUCACUUUGAAAAGAAUAAUUACUCUGAUUUUGUUUUCCCCACCAUUUGGAUGCACUAAAACAUAUUUCACGUUAAUGCCGCCAAAAGCAAUUAAAGUGUGGACACUGAUGAACUUAAAAGUUAGCGUCGUCCAUCAACAACCGCAACUAAAAAAGUGCUAAACCCACUACCAAACAGAAAUGACAUAAUGAAGUAUCAGCAUCAGCAUGAAGACAACUCAGUUUGAAAAGGCUGUGAAAGCCCAC
rnacentral:misc_RNA from 1 species